AAGCGGUGGAGCAUGUGGCUUAAUUCGAGGCUACGCGAAGAACCUUAUCCUGGGCUUGACAUGUCCGCAAGGGUGAAGACGUAGGGACCGGAAACGGCACCCGACAGGUAUCCAAUCCUGAGCUUCACACAGGUGCUGCAUGGCUGUCGUCAGCUCGUGUCGUGAGAUGUCGGGUUAAGUCCCAUAACGAGCGAAACCCCUGUCUCCAGUUGCCAGCGAGUCAAGUCGGGGACUCUGGAGAGACUGCCGGUGUCAAACCGGAGGAAGGUGGGGAUG
rnacentral:rRNA from 1 species